AAGUCGUAACAAGGUUUCCGUAGGUGAACCUGCGGAAGGAUCAUUAACACGUAUCCAAACGUUAAAACCCCCCCCGUGAACCUUCAUCCUGCUCUUGUAACCCGCGUAGUUCGCAAUCUCUGAUAAAUCAUAGCCCGGAAAGUUGUAGUGAUUCAGAGACCUCUGGCUACGUGCGAACAUUGGAACAGUUACAAUCGAGCGGUAGUUCUAUAGGCAAUGUUUCCCCAAGCAGUCGGCAGGAGCUUUGCCAAGGGUCCCCAUGCCCCCUAAUAACCCCACAGUUUAAUGAGAAGCUCAAUGUAAUACAUUGGGUAAAAAAACCGAACAACUGUUAACAAUGGAUAUCUUGGUUCUC
rnacentral:misc_RNA from 1 species